AACCCAUGUGAACUUACCACUGUUGCCUCGGCAGAUGUUGCUGGGCGAACCUACCCUGUAGCGAGCUACCCUGUAGCGACCUACCCGGGAACGGCUUACCCUGUAGCGCCUGCCGGUGGACUACUAAACUCUUGUUAUUUUUAAGUAAUCUGAGCGUCUUAUUUUAAUAAGUCAAAACUUUCAACAACGGAUCUCUUGGUUCUGGCAUCGAUGAAGAACGCAGCGAAAUGCGAUAAGUAAUGUGAAUUGCAGAAUUCAGUGAAUCAUCGAAUCUUUGAACGCACAUUGCGCCCCCUGGUAUUCCGGGGGGCAUGCCUGUUCGAGCGUCGUUUCACCCCUUAAGCCUCGCUUGGUAUUGGGAAACGCGGUCCCCCGCGUGCCUCAAAUCCUCCGGCUGGGUCUUCUGUCCCCUAAACGUUGUGGAAACUAUUCUCUAAAGGGAGUUCGGGAGGCUACCCCCCAAAACAACCCCAUUUCUAAGGUGGACCUCCGAUCAUGUAGGGA
rnacentral:rRNA from 1 species